rnacentral:rRNA from 1 species
GGUUGCGGCCAUAUCUACCAGAAAGCACCGUUUCCCGUCCGAUCAACUGUAGUUAAGCUGGUAAGAGCCUGACCGAGUAGUGUAGUGGGUGACCAUACG